rnacentral:misc_RNA from 1 species
GAUGAAGAACGUAGCGAAAUGCGAUAAGUAAUGUGAAUGGCAGAAUUCAGUGAAUCAUCGAAUCUUUGAACGCACAUUGCGCCCCCUGGUAUUCCGGGGGGCAUGCCUGUCCGAGCGUCAUUACAACCCUCAAGCUCAGCUUGGUAUUGGGCCCCGCCGACCCGGCGGGCCCUAAAGUCAGUGGCGGUGCCGUCCGGCUCCGAGCGUAGUAAUUCUUCUCGCUCUGGAGGUCCGGUCGUGUGCUCGCCAGCAACCCCCAAUUUUUUUCAGGUUGACCUCGGAUCAGGUAGGGAUACCCGCUGAACUUAAGCAUAUCAAUAAGCGGAGGA